GGGAAUUGUUCAGUAAUUGUGCCUCACCGUUAAAGAAGCCUCGCUGGUUUCUGCACAGCUGGAUCGCAAUAUCUUAAUGGGAGACAAGGUCAGGGAUUCUUUGUUUAGAUACUCCACAGAGGACAAAAACAGAAGACAAAUUGUGGUGAAACAAAAAGACAGACGUUGCUGAUUGCAGUAUGGGGGUAAUUGGAUCACAAAAAGGGAAUCAGUCAAGGUGUUUGCACCGGAGAAGUUCCCUGAGGAUGUCUACAAAUUGAACAAUUGUGUGGAAGGCAUUUCUGGGAUAAACAAUCCACUGAAAUGUCACCAGAUUCCAUGGAGUCCAAGAGAGCUGUGUGCCGUCAAGCUGGAGGGACAGUCGCAUUGUCAUCAGCCAUUAGGCAGAAUUUCAUGUCUUAUUAUGGUGUGACAACGAUGUAUAAGACCAGCUUUAAAAAUAUCAUUCUCAAAUGGUGGGCAAUGAGACAUUUCAUAUUGAUGCUAUAAAAGGAACAUCACAACACUGCCUAAUUCCCUAAAUCCAUAAAUAAAAUGAAGAUACACUUUUGUGCAAACUGCAGUGGUGAUUAUGUUGUCUAAAUGAUGUCAAGGCAAGUCCUCUUUCAUUCUUUGUUAUGAUUAUUUUUUUUCAUUUAUUUAUUUCUUUUGCAGAAAAAUAUUCUUAAGCUGAAGCCUGUAAAUAAAUAAAAAAAUCAACCUUUAAGCAACUAUUUAGCAGGACACAAAAAUGCUUCUUUUUUUUGAAUCCCUUGUGUCACACAUACUGGCAUCCUUACAUUUGACACUUUGAACAACUCCAAGUUGCCAAAAGGAAAGCACUUACUCAUGUCCUCUAACAUUUCACAGUGUUUUUAGUUACAGAGAGAAGGAUCUUUGACCAUUCCUUUUUGCACAUUUUGCAAAAAUCACCCAGAGUUAGUUUUUUUACUCACGCACUCCUUUCUUCUGUUCACCUCACUGAUUUUUAAAAGGAUUAAGGUCUGUGGACUUAGAUGACCCCAGAAGAUGUUUUUAUGUUGUUUUUUUGUUUUAUUUUAGGAAACUUUUCUGAUUAAAAAUGUCUAAGAGGUUUAAGGAUAAGAUACUUUAUUGUCAUUAUGUUGUUCAAUGAACUUGUGAUGCAGAGAAACUCCACAUGAAAAGAAUAUUAACAAUCAAAUGCAAAAUGUCAUUUCAAUUGGUCACUCUAGAAACUAGGAAAUAAAAUAGAAUAAUCCAUUCAAGUAAGGUAGAUUAAGGUUCAAUAAUGUUUUAUAGCAUAGAUUUUUUUUCUUUGUUUUGUCUUUUUUUUUAUUUUGUGUGGCACUAAUGGGAAAAAAGUACUGGUCGCCUGUGGUACAUACAGAAUGUUACAAAUAGAAACUAAUGGUAACAUUGAUGGUGCUUACUUGACUGUCUAGGAAAGUUCUCUGCAUUUAUGAAGACAUAAAUUCCAGUGAUAAAUAUUUUGUAUUUGUAAAUCAGACUGCAACGUUGU